rfam:Drosophila ananassae strain TSC#14024-0371.13 Ctg01_17672, whole genome shotgun sequence.
ACUUAGCCAAUGCACGGGUUCCAGAUUAAGCUUGCUGCCGAAGCAUACCAUCAAAAUCGGCAUAAAAUUCGCUUAAUAAAGGAGGUGGUUUUAGUACGUAGGCGUCCCGGGACUUGUCUCGGGAUGAAUCGUGCAUGCGUAUAAUUGGGAUCGAUAACAAAUACCAACUAAGUUAUUACUAAUAUAUCGAAAUACAUAAAUAUCCCGUCCUUACGUAUCUUUGAAGAUUUCCAUCCUCAGCGAAC